AUCGAACGCUGGCGGCAUGCCUUACACAUGCAAGUCGAACGGCAGCGGGGGAGAAGCUUGCUUUUCCUGCCGGCGAGUGGCGAACGGGUGAGUAAUACAUCGGAACGUGCCCUGUAGUGGGGGAUAACUAGUCGAAAGAUAAGCUAAUACCGCAUACGACCUGAGGGUGAAAGUGGGGGACCGCCAGGCCUCAUGCUAUAGGAGCGGCCGAUGUCGGGUUAGGUAGUUGGUGGGGUAAAGGCCUACCACGGCAACGAUCAGUAGCUGGUCUGAGAGGACGAUGCGCCACACUGGGACUGAGACACGGCCCAGACUCCUACGGGAGGCAGCAGUGGGGAAUUUUAGACAAGGGGCGAAAGCCUGAUCCAGCAAUGCCGCGUGUGUGAAGAAGGCCUUCGGGUUGUAAAGCACUUUUGUCCGGAAAGAAAUGGCUCUGGUUAAUACCUGGGGUCGAUGACGGUACCGGAAGAAUAAGGACCGGCUAACUACGUGCCAGCAGCAGCCGCGG
rnacentral:rRNA from 1 species